CUCUCUUGUUGGCUGUUUCCUCCUCUCUUGUUGGCUGUUUCCUCUCCUCUUGUUGGCUGUUUCCUCUCCUCUCUUGUUGGCUGUUUCCUCUCCUCUUGUUGGCUGUUUCUGAGAAGUAAAGCGUGGAAAUCUUGUGGAGUCAACACGUUGGAAGAAUCGCUCAUCUGUGGGACGAGACCCUUCUGACUUCAGGACGUCCGUCUGAAUUAGUUCCCCCUGAAGAACAAGAAUGAGUUCUCCACAAAAGAAACCGAGAGGAAGAGGAGAAAAACGUCACCACUGUCAG